AUGGUUAUUGCGGAGAGGCUGUCCGAGAAAGAAAUUGGUGGUUUGAAAGUGUUCUAUUCAACGAACUGGUUGGAAAUUCCAUGUAUGUGUGGAGGAUUGCAAGUUGAUGGUGAACAUAGCUGUGCGGAUGUGGUCGAAUGGAGUGAUGAGUUUGGGUGUAGACAAUUAACCUCAGAAAUGCAUUUGCGUGUAGAUGAUUAUUUCUCGUCGAAGUGGCUAGACAUUAUGAUAUUUGAACGGCGAUGA